AAGCGAAACCGCCCUGCGGGGCGGUCGUCCGGCGGCGGCGCGCCGGGCCUGAUGAGCAGCCCGUG
rnacentral:hammerhead_ribozyme from 1 species